rnacentral:misc_RNA from 1 species
AAAAAAAAAAAAAAAGGGGAAGAAGGUAUCACCUUCCUCUCAACCCCACCAGAUUUUCUUGUGAAAAUUAAAAGCAGAUCAGAGAAACACCAACAAGCCUCUCUCUCUCUCUCUCUGUUACUUGGCAAAGCAGAAGGGAUUCCUCAAGUGUCUCUCACAUCAUCACCAAACGCCAUUUCUUCCGCUUAAAGACUCUUAUCCAGUGUUAUUAACACCUAUGUCCCAGUAGUACUCAAUUACCACAAAGAAAGAUAGCGGACAGAGAGUACCUAGAUUAAAAAGGAUACAAUGGAUGUCAGCAGGAGAAGAGCUGGGGUUAAAACUAGUGUGGUUGCAGGCUCUGUCUGGGAGAGUAGAAUGAAGCUUGAUGAAGUCAAAGGUGGUAUCAAGGUUUUCAAUGGAGAUGGAAACCAUGAUGAGACUGCUGAUACUUCAAGGAAAUUUCUUAAGAGAGGCCAAUCUGGUACUUCAGUGGCUGCCACUGCCAAGAGAAAGACUUGGAAGUCUGAGAGUUUUGAUGGCCCAAUUCAGAUAGCUAAAGGGAAAACUGAGCCUCUACCAAUCAAGAAUUGUGAGGAACAGUGUAGAGAGUUGAUUGUUUCUGCUGAUGGAAUCAAGAAAAGCUCAAUUCCAGCAAGAAGAGGAAGGUCUGAAGGAAUCAAAGAGCUUAGUGUUUCUGUGGAUGGAAUUGAUAAAAGCCCAAUUCAGGGCAAGAAAGGAAGAUCCGAGGAGAUCGGUGUUUCUGCUGAUGGAAAUGCGAAAAGCCCAGUUCAGAUAAGAAAGCCAAGAUCUGAUAUAAAAGAACUUGUUGAAUCUGGUGCCCAAUUGAGGAAAUCGAAGUCAGAUUCAGUGAAUGCUGCAAAUCAGUCUGGUAAAGAUAUUGCAGUUGAUGGUGGGAUUGAAAGGGACUCAAUUCAGUUAAUGAAAGCAAAAUCAGAGCCUGAGAAAACUUCGGAUGAAUCAGAGAUUAAAGGUAGUGAAGAUUCUGUGAGUAGAAUUGAGAAGAGUCCACCUGAAAUUGAGGAAACUGGAUCUGAGGAAUCUUGCAAAGAGUUUGGUGUGUGCAGAGAAAAGGUCAUUCCUAUCAAUGAAGCCAAUGGGGCACUAAUCAAAUCACCUCCUCAACUCUUGGCGGAUAAUCAAGAUGAUCAUGAUGAUAUGGUUAUUGAUGGGGAUGAAAAAUUAGAUGGAGAUGAGGAAGAGGAAGGAAUAGAUGAGGAGGUGGAGAUUGAGAUUGAGAAGAAGAGCCUUGAAGUUAAGGAGAUUCAAAUACCAGAAGAGAAGACUAAGAAAGUGGAAACAAAAGCAUCAUCACCAGAACAUAAACCCAAGAAAGCAGUGAAUGAAGAACAGAAACCCAAGAAAACAGUGAAUGAAGAUAAAAGGGUUUAUCAAUUUAGGAAUAGAACAACACCCGUUUCUUCAACGGUGAAUAAACAGCCUCCUCCUGUAUUAAGGAGAGCAACAAUUUACCAAAAUCUUUCAAAACCCACUGCAGCUCCAGUUAGUAAUGAAAACCAUCAGAGUUUCCCAGAAACUCAUAGCAAGCUGCAAAAUCUAGUGAAUUUAGUGAUGUGGAGAGACAUGUCGAGAUCUGCAUUUGUCUUUGGAAUUGGCACAUUCACCAUAAUCUCUUCCUCCUAUACCAAAGAUCUCAAUGUCAGCUUUAUUUCUGUGAUUUCCUAUCUGGGUCUUGUUUAUCUUGCAGCCAUUUUCUUGUAUAGAUCACUUAUUUGCAGGGGAGUUAUAUAUAUAGAAGAUUCAAGUCAUGUGGUGGGUGAAGAAGAGGCAAUUUGGUUACUAAAAUUGGUUCUACCAUACUUGAAUGAGUGCUUGUUGAAAAUUAAAGCCCUUUUUUCUGGGGAUCCUGCUACUACAAUGAAGUUGGCAGUGCUGCUGUUUGUUUUCGCCAGGUGUGGCAGCUCCAUAACAAUCUGGAAGAUGGCCAAAUUGGGCUUUUUUGGGGCUUUUACUGUACCAAAAGUCUGCUCUUCCUACUCCACACAGUUAACUGGUUACGGUAAAUUCUUCAAUUUAUUGCAAUUUUGUCUUCUUGCAUUGUUUGUCGCUGUCUUGAUUAAGUUAUUAUAAUAUACCGUUAGACCAUAGUAAUUAAUGUACACUUCCACUCGCUGAUCUAAAUCUAACGCCAACAAACAUGGACCCCAUAUGGUGAUGGAACAUGGCAUUGGGUGGGCCUACCACAUCAGGUUAAUUUCAUUUCUUACCUACCCUAUAGACAUGGUAGUGGGAGGCAGGUUCUGUAUCUGGUAUUUUAAGUUGCAACGGUCGUGUUGACCUACCAUAGUGUAGAUGUAGAUAUAGAUGUGUUGGGUCCUACAUGAGUCCAAAUCCAUCAUCCAUCAUGAUCUCAAUUAUCCCUAAUCUCGGAUGCUAAUUUAGGACCCAUCACAGCAUCUCUUUUGUGUUCUCUUUUGCUGAUUCUCAUCACCUUGGUUUUUAAUUUUAUUUUAUUGUCAAGAUAAUAUUAGAAAUUGAGACACUAACAAUUGCUCUGCUUUCUGAAAAGUUAAUUUGAUAAUGCAAGUCAAAUAAUAAUUUUUUCUGUGUUUCACAUAAAAUUUUACUUUCUUAAUUUAUUUACUCCAAUUAAAGAAGGUCCUAAUUUAAUUUUUAAUACAAUAUUGGAGCCUUUCAAAUUAAAAUAUCCAAAGUUAAAUUUUAAAUUUUGAAUUUAUUAAUUAAAUAUUUCAUAUGUCACGUUCUUAAGUCCAACUUAGGCUUUAGAUGCUUUCAUGAUUAUUGAGUUUUAGUUUAUAUUUUAAUAAGUGACAAACAACGUAGUAGUGGAGUAAAUAUGAAGCGUUAACGUUUGUGUAAUGAAAUGGACGUGAAGCUAAAUUUUGGAUUCGACGGUUUCGAGAUGCAUGGGAGUCAUGCUCGCAUAAGAAAGCCGUUGCUUUGGCCAUCUUUACCCUCAUAUGGAAUCUCUCUUCAAUGGUUGCUCGUGUUUGGGCAGUGUUUAUGAUGUUUGUGGCCGUUCGAUAUUAUCAACAGUCUAUGAAGUCAUAUGAUUGGAUAGAGGGUGACGAUGAUGCAGUAAUGGAAGAUGAAGAUGAUAAAAACACACAAGCUCCAGUGGAGAAAGUAAAUAAAAAUAAAAAAGAAUUUUAAAAAAUAAAAAUUUUUACUCAGUACAUAAAUAUAUAUGAUUGAUAGAAAAUAAUAUGAAGUUUUAUUUUAUUAUUUUAUUUUUCUGUUUAUUGCUGUGAAUAUGUUGUUUGGGACAAUAUACAAACACGCUAUCAAGCUCAAUAGGACAGCUUGUGAUUAAAAAAUUAAUAAUUGAUUUCCUCAUGUUGUGUUGGGCAUUUUGUUAAUGUUGGGAAUGGGAAUGAAAAUUAUUUAUUUUAAUUUUUGUUAUUGAAAUAAUUAAUUUAAAUUUAAAAUGGCUUUUUUUAAAUUAUAUUUAACUCUUUCUUGAAUUGAAAGAAGAAUAUAUUUUCUAUAAUCUAAGCACUCAAAAUUUAGGGUUUUUUAUUUUAUUUUAUAUAUCCAAGAUAAAGUUUCAUUAAAAGAGACCAAUGAGCAACUACAGUGGCGAAGUCGGCCCAUAGAGCUGACACAAGAGAUCCGAACCCAGCUAAGUGGCCCAACAGGCACAGCUCAAACCCAUACAAGCUAAACCCUUGUAGAUUGAACGCCGCUGCAUGCUAAUCUUCUUCCUUACCACGCUGCCUGUGGAGCCAAAAGUUAAGGAGAAACCUGCCAGGAAUUCAUGCAAGGCAAGAAGAUAGAAGAGUAGAAACUCCAUUACCCAAAUCAACGCCCAAGCUCUUGAAGAUUAAGUAAGGCUCUAACUCUGGUCACCAGAGGCUUUGAAGGAGGGAUGGCAAAACUUCCACCUUUCUCAAAAAUUUAGGCUUAUCUAUUUACAGGGGGAACUUGUAAAAAAGUAUCAUGUGGUGGUUUCGCCGCAUUUUUCAAGUAGGAUUAUGAAGUUAAGUUUGUGACAAAAUUGUAUCUCUAGGUUAUGGGUUGUUAUAAAAGUUUUGCAGUGCUUGUUAAUUCUCAUAGAAAUGAAAAUUUUUAAAAAAAU